ACUAUGGGGUGUUAAAUUUUUAUUUUGAAGUUGAUGGUCUAUAUCUGGAGACUGGAAAGCCACAGAAGUGUAGGCAUAUGAUUAUAGCAAACAAGAGAAGGAUCUAAAGGGAAAAUCGACUUCUAAAAGGAAAAACAAAUCUUUGCAAGUAGGACUUGCAGGCUUGUCCUAUGCUUUGAUCUGGGAGUGUUUUAAUGAUUUCUCUCUCCGUUGAACUAGGAGAUGGAGGAGGCCUUCAGGACAGGAGGGCUGGGCCUGGGAUUCAGCCCCUCCUCUCCCCUCUCCUGAAUGAAGUCUUUACCUUCUCCAACAAAGGCUGCAUUACUCACUGUGAGGUUUAUUGGGGGGAAGUUGCCAGAGAACAAUCCAGGUAUGAGCCUCAGCCCCAGUCCUCUCAGGUAUAGCCUGGAGAGUAAAGCACCCCCGAACCUAGUUGGGUCUAGGCCGAGAAGAUACGAAGAGUAAACAGCCCACAGCGAACCCUGCGUGCCAUGCACUGAGUGGGGUACCACGGGGACACAGGCCCUGCCUUCCAAGACACUUGCACUAGCGGCGAGACGGAGACCGUUUGGAGUCUCGGAGAAUUAAUCCAACCCUAGGGGAGUGUCUGCUGGCGUCUCAGUACAUCCAUCCCAGCUCCGAGGUCAGAGAAGGGAGGCGGGAGCCGGAACUCCAGCGCCUGCGGCGCGUGGGGUUGGGUAGCAUUCCUCACGCCGCCGCGGGGCCACGAGGCUGAGGGCGUGGCCCAUGCUGCGACUCCGCCUCUAUCCCCGCCCCGCGCGCGUUGCCAGGGUGAUCAGGUGACUCGGCGCUCCAGGCGGCUGUGACGUCAGGGGCGCCGCUGCUCUUCACUCACUCUGAGGCAGGUACACUUUGCAGGUCCUCAAUGAACCAAGGGAACCCUCCACCGUAUCCGGGCCCCGGUCCAACAGCCCCAUACCCACCUUAUCCACAACCACCAGUGGGGCCUGAGGCCUACCCUCCAGGACCUAUGGGAGGACCCUACCCCCCUCCUCAAGGGUACCCCUACCAAGGAUACCCACAGUAUGGCUGGCAAGGCGGACCUCAGGAGCCUCCUAAAACCACAGUGUACGUGGUGGAACAGGAAAGGAAGAAGGAUGACAGCGGGUGUCAGGCUGCCUUGGCUGCGUGCUGGGCUGCUCUCUGCUGCUGCUGCCUCCUGGACACCUUGGACUGAGCAGCCGAGACCCAAGCGUUCCUUCCAGGCGUGCUGCCUCCUGUAACCGGAAUGAACAACUAGUGCUGCAUGAUCUCUGCUUUUUCUUUCUUUGAAAAAUACCUAAUCUGCAGACUUUUAAAUUUUAGUACCCUUGAUAGGUAUGAAAUGGUAUCUAACUAUUCUAAUUUACCUUCCUUGAAUACUAGUGACCUUGAACAUAACAAUAUAAAUUUCGGGUGAUUUGCUUUUACAGAUAUUGUGAAUUGUUUGUGUAUAUUCUUAGCCCAUUUUUUUUUUCUAUUGGUCUGUCUUUUCUUACUGAGUUAUUUUCUUAAUGAUUUGUAGGCAAUCUUUAAAUAUUUCACACACUAUUUGUCACUCUUAUAGGCUUGCAAAUAUCUUCACCCUGUCUCAACCUUAUAGAAUAUUUUCUAGUAUGAAAUAUUUUAAAUGUCAUGUUUAUCAAUCUUUCCCUCAUGCUUUGUGUGUAUUUUAGUCUUUGAAAAAUCAUUUCCUAUUCCAAGUUCAUAAAGCUAAGCCUAUAUUUUCUUCUAAAAUUUUUUCACAUAGAAUCUUUAGACUACCUAGAGUUAUUUUUGAUUAUGCAUAGGAGAAGGUUCUGGUUUUCAGUUUUUAUUUUGGUAGUCCUAACACCAUUUAUUGAUUAGGUCAUCCUUUCCCUAUUGAUUUGAAAUGAGAUUUGUCAUAUAUACCAGGUUCCUAUAUAUGAUUGGGCUAGAAGCAGGAGUCUAGUAGGCUAAACACCUUCCCUAACCCCAGCACAUGCAUGCACACAUACUCAUUGUUUUUCUUCAGAAUUUUCUUGGCCUUUCACUCUUUAAUCUGGAUUUUAGGAUGAGUGUGUCAGUUUCUAUGGAAAACUACCAUGUCUGGCUUUAACUGGAAUGGCAUGUAAUUUAUAGAGUAAUUGGAGAAGAGUUGACAUAUUUACAAGAUUGUCUUCCUAUUUCGAACAUGGUAUCUAUUUUUGUGUUCUUUUAUCUCUUUAAAUAAAGUCACAUAAUUUUCUUCACA